CUACGGGAUGCACCAGUGGGGAAUCUUGCGCAAUGGGCGAAAGCCUGACGCAGCAACGCCGCGUGCGGGAUGAAGGCCUUCGGGCUGUAAACCGCUUUCAGCAGGAACGAAAAUGACGGUACCUGCAGAAGAAGGAGCGGCCAACUACGUGCCAGCAGCCGCGGUGACACGUAGGCUCCAAGCGUUGUCCGGAUUUAUUGGGCGUAAAGAGCUCGUAGGCGGUUGAGUAAGUCGGGUGUGAAAACUCUGGGCUUAACCCGGAGACGCCAUCCGAUACUGCUCUGACUAGAGUUCAGGAGGGGAGUGGGGAAUUCCUAGUGUAGCGGUGAGAUGCGCAGAUAUUAGGAGGAACACCGGUGGCGAAGGCGCCACUCUGGACUGAAACUGACGCUGAGGAGCGAAAGCAUGGGUAGCAAACAGGAUUAGAUACCCCAGUAGUC
rnacentral:rRNA from 1 species